rnacentral:rRNA from 1 species
UACGGAGGGGGCUAGCGUUGUUCGGAAUUACUGGGCGUAAAGCGCACGUAGGCGGCUUUGUAAGUUAGAGGUGAAAGCCCGGGGCUCAACCUCGGAAUUGCCUUCAAAACUGAUAACCUGGAGUAUGGAAGAGGUAAGUGGAACUCCGAGUGUAGAGGUGAAAUUCGUAGAUAUUCGGAAGAACACCAGUGGCGAAGGCGACUUACUGGUCCAUUACUGACGCUGAGGCUCGAAAGCGUGGGGAGCAAACAGG